rnacentral:rRNA from 2 species
UUCCGGUUGAUCCUGCCGGACCUGACUGCUAUCGGAUUGAUACUAAGCCAUGCGAGUCAUUGUAGCAAUACAAGGCAGACGGCUCAGUAACGCGUAGUCAACCUAACCUAUGGACGGGAAUAACCUCGGGAAACUGAGAAUAAUGCCCGAUAGAACACUAUAUCUGGAAUGGUUUGUGUUCCAAAUGAUUUAUCGCCGUAGGAUGGGACUGCGGCCUAUCAGUUUGUUGGUGAGGUAAUGGCCCACCAGGACUAUUACAGGUACGGGCUCUGAGAGGAGUAGCCCGGAGAUGGGUACUGAGACACGGACCCAGGCCCUAUGGGGCGCAGCAGGCGAGAAAACUUUGCAAUGUGCGAAAGCACGACAAGGUUAAUCCGAGUGGUUUGUGCUAAACGAACCUUUUGUCGGUCCUAGAAACACCGAUGAAUAAGGGGUGGGCAAGUUCUGGUGUCAGCCGCCGCGGUAAAACCAGCACCUCAAGUGGUCAGGAUGAUUAUUGGGCCUAAAGCAUCCGUAGCCGGCGCUAUAAGUUUUCGGUUAAAUCUGUACGCUCAACGUACAGGCUGCCGGGAAUACUGUAGCGCUAGGGAGUGGGAGAGGUAGACGGUACUCGGUAGGAAGGGGUAAAAUCCUUUGAUCUAUUGAUGACCACCUGUGGCGAAGGCGGUCUACCAGAACACGUCCGACGGUGAGGGAUGAAAGCUGGGGGAGCAAACCGGAUUAGAUACCCGGGUAGUCCCAGCUGUAAACUAUGCAAACUCAGUGAUGCAUUGGCUUGUGGCCAAUGCAGUGCUGCAGGGAAGCCGUUAAGUUUGCCGCCUGGGAAGUACGUACGCAAGUAUGAAACUUAAAGGAAUUGGCGGGGGAGCACCACAAGGGGUGAAGCCUGCGGUUCAAUUGGAGUCAACGCCGGG